rnacentral:lncRNA from 1 species
GGGAAUUACCUCUGGAACCCUACAGCAUUCUGAGCUGACAACUGUUGGAGUCUCUGUUUUACAGAGGCAGAAACUGACGCAUAAAGGGGCUAGUUGUUAACUCAAAGCCCACAGCCAGUAAGUGGAGGAGCGAGGAUUUGAACCCGGGCCUCAGCUCCAGGAUCCACGGCCGUGUCCUCAUCUGUGCGGUGGGGCCGUUAAGGAUAAGCCACUACAGGGUGGUUCUAGGAAUAGACACCUUCCUAUGCGGGAUGCACUUAGCGUGCACUUAAGCACCUGGUGAAUGCUGGUCACGUUACUCUCCUGUAGGUCAAGGGGGAGAAUCAAGGCCAGGUGAGUCGAAGUGUUCAGAUCUGUCCUUAAGAUGCGUACGUUUUAUUUGCACAUUACAGCCCAAGUUACAAAAAUACACAGGGAACAUGCCAGCUCCAGGAAGUGGCUGAGGGACUGGCUGGACUUGAUGGGUGCUGCAGUCCCAGCCACCCAAGAGCCAGAAGGUGAACCAGAUACGGGACUCGGCAUCCAAAACGUCCUGUGGAGUCCAGGAGGGACCACUCCUGUGCUUUCCCUGGCCGGAGUGUGCCUGUGUUUCUUCCCUGGAGUGCUGGUCCCCGUGGGCCCCUGGGGCUUCUGCCGGCUGCAGUGUACAGAGGCCAGGCAUGGCUGCCCGUGCAGUUUCGCUCACACAUGGCCCUCCCACCCGGGGCUGGCCGACUCUCAGCUGCCGCCCUGGACAGUUGUUUGGGGCAGCUGGCACGUCCCUCCCUUCCUUGAGGAACUCCCACCCCUCAAGCCCAGGCUGCAACAAUCAUGGUCCCCUGCCUACCCGCAGCCCGACCCCUGCUGCCCCAAGAGUGGAAUGUGACUCAAGGUCGGAUCGUCCUAGUCCAGCACCCUCCCUCGGGGCCGGGGCAGGCUGCACCACACCCCCCCUGAAGUCAGAUGUGGCUGUGGACUCACUUGAUGAACUGUGAGCUCAGUGGCUGGUGCAUCUCCCGGGUGGAAGCUUUCCAAGCCAGUGGGUGACUCCCUGGGUGCCCUCCCCUGUGCCACCGUGAUGGCCAGAGCAUAUUUUGAGUCAUAGCAUCUGUUAGCCUGGGGCCCUGAAAGCCCAGGGUGGGUAGAGCCCCUGUCACCCUGGGGUGGAUGUUCAGUGUGAGUGACA